rnacentral:rRNA from 1 species
UACGGGGGGGGCAAGCGUUGUUCGGAAUUACUGGGCGUAAAGGGCUUGUAGGUGGCCAACUAAGUCAGACGUGAAAUCCCUCGGCUUAACCGGGGAACUGCGUCUGAUACUGGCAGGCUUGAAUCCGGGAGAGGGAUGCGGAAUUCCUGGUGUAGCGGUGAAAUGCGCAGAUAUCAGGAGGAACACCGGUGGCGAAGGCGGAUCUCUGGGCCUUGCCUGACGCUGAGGCGCGAAAGCUAGGGGAGCGAACAGG